rnacentral:rRNA from 1 species
CGAGGGUGCGAGCGUUAAUCGGAAUGACUGGGCGUAAAGGGCACGUAGGCGGCAUAACAAGUUAGAUGUGAAAUACCAGGGCUCAACCUUGGGGCUGCAUCUAAGACUGUUGUGCUAGAGUUCACUAGAGGGAAGUGGAAUUUCCGGUGUAGCGGUGAAAUGCGUAGAUAUCGGAAAGAACACCAGUGGCGAAGGCGGCUUUCUGGAGUUGAACUGACGCUAAGGUGCGAAAGCGUGGGGAGCAAACAGGAUUAGAGACCCGAGUAGUCC